GAUGAACGCUAGCGGGAGGCCUAACACAUGCAAGCCGAGCGGUAUUGUUUCUUCGGAAAUGAGAGAGCGGCGUACGGGUGCGGAACACGUGUGCAACCUGCCUUUAUCUGGGGGAUAGCCUUUCGAAAGGAAGAUUAAUACUCCAUAACAUAUUGAACGGCAUCGUUCGAUAUUGAAAGCUCCGGCGGAUAGAGAUGGGCACGCGCAAGAUUAGCUAGUUGGUGAGGUAACGGCUCACCAAGGCGAUGAUCUUUAGGGGGCCUGAGAGGGUGAUCCCCCACACUGGUACUGAGACACGGACCAGACUCCUACGGGAGGCAGCAGUGAGGAAUAUUGGUCAAUGGGUGCAAGCCUGAACCAGCCAUCCCGCGUGAAGGACGACUGCCCUAUGGGUUGUAAACUUCUUUUGUAUAGGGAUAAACCUGCCCUCGUGAGGGUAGCUGAAGGUACUAUACGAAUAAGCACCGGCUAACUCCGUG
rnacentral:rRNA from 1 species